GGAAUAUUGGGCAAUGCCCGCAAGGGUGACCCAGCAACGCCGCGUGGAGGAUGAAUGUCGUAAGAUUGUAAACUCCUGUUAGAGGGGACGAAUAGUACCGGUUGGACCGGUAUAUGACUGUACCCUCAGAGAAAGCCCCGGCUAACUACGUGCCAGCAGCCGCGGUAAUACGUAGGGGGCAAGCGUUGUCCGGAUUUACUGGGUGUAAAGGGCGCGCAGGCGGGAUAAAAAGUCAGUGGUGAAAUCCUACAGCUUAACUGUAGAAGUGCCUUUGAUACUUUUAUUCUUGAGUGCGGGAGAGAGAGACGGAAUUCCAGGUGUAGUGGUUAAAUACGUAGAUAUCUGGAAGAACACCUGUUGCGAAGGCGGUCUCUUGGUCCGACACUGACGCUGAGGCGC
rnacentral:rRNA from 1 species